GGCCUCGUAGCUCAGCUGGUAGAGCAUGCGCGUACAAAGCGUAGGCGGCGUCCAUGCGUGGGCUCAAAUCCCACCGAGGCUA
rnacentral:tRNA from 1 species